AACAAGGCGUACCUGCGGACCUGCGGAAGGAUCAUUACCGAGUUAUACAACUCAUCAACCCCUGUGAACUUACCUACAACGUUGCUUCGGCGGGAACAGACGGCCCCGUAAAACGGGCCGCCCCCGCCAGAGGACCCCUAACUCUGUUUUUAUAAUGUUUUUCUGAGUAAACAAGCAAAUAAAUUAAAACUUUCAACAAUGGAUCU
rnacentral:misc_RNA from 1 species